GGGUCGUUAGCUCAGUCGGUAGAGCAGUUGACUCUUAAUCAAUUGGUCGUAGGUUCGAUCCCUACACGACCCACCA
rnacentral:tRNA from 28 species